rnacentral:lncRNA from 1 species
GUAUAUAUUCAGGGCCCCUAGGUCAGUAAUCUCAUAGUGUAUUAAAAAGCAUCUCAUCUGGCAAGGUCCUGGAAACUUUUCUGAGAUUCUGCCCCAGGACACUGACUUUCAACAGGAUGAAGACUGCAACCUGUUCCCUUCUCAUCUGCGUCUUCCUUCUCCAGCUGAUGGUCCCAGUGAAUACUGAUGGAACCUUAGACAUUAUUGGGAAGAAAAAGGUCAAGGAACUUCUAGCCCAUCAAGAUAACUAUCCCUCUGCUGUAAGGAAGACCCUCUCAUGCACUAAUGUCAAGUCUAUGAGCAAAUGGGCCUCCUGCCCUGCUGGGAUGACUGCUACUGGUUGUUCUUGUGGCUUUGCCUGUGGAUCUUGGGAAAUCCAGAAUGAAAAUAUUUGCAACUGCCUGUGCUUAAUCGUUGACUGGGCCUAUGCCCGCUGCUGCCAACUGUCCUAAGAAUGGAGAGGCACAGAACUCAGCUUUGAUAUGAUGAGUCUAACAAAACUGCAAUCUCAACUUGGAAAUCUGACUCAUGCGCAUUUGAUGUAUUCAUAUUGCCCAUUAACCCCGCUUCUUGAAAAAAUAAAGACAAAUUUACAUCUUUC